CGCCGCGGUGAUACGUUCCCGGGCCUUCGUUACACACCGCCCGAUCACACCAUGAGAGUUUGUAACACCCGAAGCCGGUGGCGUAACCCUUUUAGGGAGCGAGCCGUCUAAGGUGGGACAAAUGAUUAGGGUGAAGUCGUAACAAGGUAGCCGUAGGAGAACCUGCGGCUGGAUCACCUCCUUUCUA
rnacentral:rRNA from 1 species